rnacentral:lncRNA from 1 species
AAGUAACUGUGAGAAAAGUAUUUACAAGUCCCUUUGGGGUUGGUUUGUUUGUUUUGCUGAAGGCAAAAAACCUGAGGCAAAUGGCUUGGGGGAAAAAGAGCAUCAGAUCUCCUAACAUGCCUCUACUGCUGCUGGUAACUCAGGUCUCCGCUCCCACCCUUUCCUUCCAGGGCAGUUUCAGCAGCUUGGCCGCGUCUCCUCAUCUGUCACCGGCCCCGUUGCUCCCAGUCAGUCCGGGAGUGAAGUGCUGCUGCUUGGCAAAGGUGCACGUACACACGGCGGGCUUAGAAAGGGAAGAGCUGAGGGCGUAAACAAUGCAGAGACUUGGUGCUGGCUUGGAGUGACCCCAAAUGUCUUCUGGUGCGCCACAGUGAUUGCAGUUGUUGGGCAAUUUCAGCUUGGGUUUGGUGGUUGAAUACUGACCAGAAACUUCAGCCAAGGCUGGGCACAAGGCAAAGCGUUUGCAAGAGACACUCACUGCCUCCAAAGCUUAUGACUGAAAUAGUCAAAACAGAAGCGGACACUGAGUCUGCAUACAGAUCAGCCGGUAUUUCUGGGUCAGCCGGUACGCAGCCAGGGAUGGAUAUCAGCUCUUCCAGGUCAGAAGAAUCUGUCUGUAUGCCGAGGCUGGCUCUUUUCCAUGGCCCUAGGACUGAGUCUCCCUCCUAUGAUCCCUUCUCAGGGCUGUUUCACUGAGAGCGGCUGGAAGCACAGGGUGCCCCGGGUACUCCGGAGUAGCUGGAGUUCAGACGCUCGGGCAGAGCAGGUGUAACUGGCAGAAACAGCUAUACCUUCUGCACCUGAAGCUUUGUGCCUUUGCAUUAGCGUUCCUUCAGAGACACAGCAUUGCAAUUYGACGGGAGAGCCUGAAGUGUGUAGCAGAGUACAGAGUGCUCCGUGGUGGUUUCAUACUGAAGAUAACUCGGGCAGCCUUUGCUAGCGGCCUCCAGCUGAGGAUUCAGGCCUUGAUUCAGCACUGAACUUACAUGGGGGCUCGAUACGAGGAAUGUGCCUUCAUUCCUAAGAUCAGGUUUGGAUAUAACUUUCCGAGGGGGACCCAAGCCAAGAAUACACUCUCCUAUUUGAGUCUGAGAAUGGGGCUGUUUCUAACAGAGCAUCCCUGAAAAGCUGUGAGCAGAGAUAUUCGAUAGGUGAGCUGAGCCACCGGGUUUCCUCUCAGCUAGCUGCUCAGGGCUGCUUUGAAAUGGAGUCUGGGAAUUGUUUUCAGUAGGAUCAGAGCAAAUUCAGGCUCUGUGCUGUGGCCCCCUCCCUUGGUAUGUUAUCACAAUACCACAGCCUGAACAAGAGAUC